rnacentral:rRNA from 1 species
UACGUAGGUGGCAAGCGUUGUCCGGAUUUAUUGGGCGUAAAGGGCGCGCAGGUGGUGUGCUAAGUCUGCCGUGAAAUCUCCCGGCUCAACUGGGAGGCUGCGGUGGAGACUGGCACGCUUGAGGUACCUAGAGGUCGGUGGAAUUCCCGGUGUAGUGGUGAAAUGCGUAGAGAUCGGGAGGAACACCAGUGGCGAAGGCGGCCGGCCUGGGGGUGACCUGACGCUGAGGCGCGAAAGCGGUGGGGAGCGAACCGGG